rnacentral:rRNA from 1 species
GAACGCUGGCGGCGUGCCUAAUACAUGCAAGUCGAGCGAACAGACGAGGAGCUUGCUCCUCCGACGUUAGCGGCGGACGGGUGAGUAACACGUGGAUAACCUACCUAUAAGACUGGGAUAACUUCGGGAAACCGGAGCUAAUACCGGAUAAUAUAUUGAACCGCAUGGUUCAAUAGUGAAAGACGGUUUUGCUGUCACUUAUAGAUGGAUCCGCGCCGCAUUAGCUAGUUGGUAAGGUAACGGCUUACCAAGGCGACGAUGCGUAGCCGACCUGAGAGGGUGAUCGGCCACACUGGAACUGAGACACGGUCCAGACUCCUACGGGAGGCAGCAGUAGGGAAUCUUCCGCAAUGGGCGAAAGCCUGACGGAGCAACGCCGCGUGAGUGAUGAAGGUCUUCGGAUCGUAAAACUCUGUUAUUAGGGAAGAACAAAUGUGUAAGUAACUAUGCACGUCUUGACGGUACCUAAUCAGAAAGCCACGGCUAACUACGUG